AGAGUUUGAUCCUGGCUCAGGAUGAACGCUGGCGGCGUGCUUAACACAUGCAAGUCGAACGAAGCUCCUAAUCUUGAGAUUUCGGUCAAGAGAGAGGGAAGACUUAGUGGCGGACGGGUGAGUAAUGCGUGAGCAACCUGCCCUUCGGAGGGGGACAACAGUUGGAAACGACUGCUAAUACCGCAUAAUGUAUCGAGAAGGCAUCUUCAUGAUACCAAAGAUUUAUCGCCGAGGGAUGGGCUCACGUCUGAUUAGUUAGUUGGUAGGGUAACGGCCUACCAAGACUGCGAUCAGUAGCCGGACUGAGAGGUUGACCGGCCACAUUGGGACUGAGAUACGGCCCAGACUCCUACGGGAGGCAGCAGUGGGGAAUAUUGGGCAAUGGGCGCAAGCCCUGACCCAGCAACGCCGCGUGAAGGAAGAAGGCUUUCGGGUUGUAAACUUCUUUUAGCAGGGACGAAGACGUGACGGUACCUGCAGAAUAAGCUCCGGCUAACUACGUGCCAGCAGCCGC
rnacentral:rRNA from 1 species